rnacentral:tRNA from 1 species
AUAGGGUUAGUUAAUAAAUAUAAUAUGUACUUGUCGUGUAUAAGUAGUUUACAUCAAACACCCUAUU